rnacentral:rRNA from 1 species
CACGUAGGCUCCAAGCGUUGUCCGGAUUUAUUGGGCGUAAAGAGCUCGUAGGCGGUUUAGUAAGUCGGGUGUGAAAACUCUGGCUUAACCCGGAGACGCCAUCCGAUACUGCUAUGACUUGAGUUCAGGAGGGGAGCGGGGAAUUCCUAGUGUAGCGGUGAAAUGCGCAGAUAUUAGGAGGAACACUGGUGGCGAAGGCGCCGCUCUGG